AGAAAAAACUACUUCGCUGCCACACUUCGCUCCCUCUCCCCUCGCCCAAUCCGCCAUUUCCUCUCCGCCAAAACCCUAACGCUCCCCCUUGCGGGCGCGCACCGGAGCUCGGAGCUCGUCCAUGGCGGGGAAGACGGCAAUCCUGGGGCGAGCCCAUGCCCUCUUACACAAAACCCUAGGCCCUAGUACCCCCUUCCGCGCCGCUAUCUCCACUUUGCCCCUCCUCUCCCAGGAGCCCCAGCUCCAGGAACCUCCCUCCUCCACCUCAGCCACAGGCGGCGCCGCCUCCCCGCUUCCCCCGAACCCCUCCACGGGGAGCCCCUUCUACCAGGAGAACUGGCGCGUCCCGAACCCCGGACCCGCCCCUGUGCUCGGCGGUCAGUCCCUCGUCCCCCUGGGCGGCUCCGCCACCACCCGGAUAAUGGCCUACUCCCAGACCCUCGACAUGGCCAGCCUGAUGAACGUCUUCGCUGACUGGAUGACGUCGCAGCGGUGGUCGGACCUCAAGCAGCUGUUCGAGUUUUGGAUCCGGUCGCUGGAUGCCACCGGGAAGCCCAACAAGCCAGACGUCCACCUCUAUAAUCACUACCUGAGGGCCAAUCUCAUGAUGGGGGCGACCGCUGGGGAGCUGUUGGAUCUGGUGGCCCAGAUGCAGGAGUACCAGAUUGCGCCGAACACUGCCUCGUACAAUUUGGUGCUCAAGGCCAUGUUCCAGGCUAGAGAGAGUGAGGCAGCCGAGAAGUUGGUCGACCGGAUGCUGCAGACAGGCACUUUGCCAGAUGAUGAAUCAUAUAAUUUGGUUAUAGGUCUUCUGAUUUUAGUGAAUCAGAUUGAUUCUUCCUUAAAAUAUUUAGAUUUGACCCUGAAAUCGGGUUUCAUGGUGUCAUCGAGCAUUUUUUCGGAUUGUGUACGGAGCUGUGUUAAUGCUGGGAGAUUGGAUGCAUUGUCAUCUAUCAUAGAGAAAUGCAAGAUGACAGACCAAAACAAAGCCUUAUGCCCUGGUUGGAACUUAUGCAACUACAUUGCUGAUGUUGCAUUGCAAGCAGAUAAUAGCAAAUUGGCGUACUUCUCCUUGGAAUUUCUGGCACGAUGGAUUGCUCGUGGUGAGAAUGCUAGACCACCUGUUCUUCUUUCUGUGGAUGAAGGGUUAGUCGUGUCAGCCCUUGGUACUGCUGGUAGAACAUACGAUUCUACCCUUCUAGAUGCUUCUUGGUCAAUUUUGCGGCGUUCCUUGCGUCAGAAAAGGGCCCCAAAUCCAGAAUCUUACCUUGCAAAGAUAUUUGCACAUGUAUCAUUGGGAAAUCUGCAACGUGCUUUUAGUACCCUCAAUGAAUUUGAAAAUGCAUAUGGGAAUUCUGGGGAAGUUGAUCAGCAGCUUUUUUCUCCUUUUACUUCUUUAUAUCCACUGGUUCUUGCUUGCUGCAAAAAUGGCUUCUCAACAUUGGACUCGGUGUAUUUUCAAUUGGAGAAUUUGAGCCGUGCAGAUCCCCCUUACAAGUCUGUUUCUGCUCUCAACUGUGUGAUAUUAGGUUGUGCAAACAAUUGGGAUCUUGACCGGGCGUAUGAGACUUUUGAGGCCAUCACUGAAAAGAUGGGAUUAACACCUGAUAUACAUUCUUAUAAUGCUUUAAUGCGUGCAUUUGGAAAGCUCAAGAAGACAGCUGAAGCUUCGAAAGUCUUUGAGCAUUUAGUAAGCUUAGGUGUUAAACCAAAUGCAACAACAUAUUCAUUGCUUGUUGAUGCACAUCUUGUCAAUCGAGAUCCAAAAGCUGCUUUAGCUGUAACUGAUGAAAUGGUUGAGGCAGGAUUUACACCUACUAAAGAGAUGUUGAAAAAGGUGCGAAGACGCUGCUCUCGAGAAUCAGAUUUUGAUAAUGAUGAGCAUGUACAGUCUAUAGCUCAAAAGUUCAAGAUCCGAAUGGGUGGUGAAUUUCGUAGAGAGAUGCUAUACAACCUGGAGUACAGCACUGAUUAUUAGAAAGAGGUAGCUCUCCUAGUAUCACUUCUAAGCUCAUGAGUCCAUCAUUUGAACAACCAUACCCCCCCCUCCCCCCUCCCCCUCUUCCUUUUUACUUUGCCAUUUUUUCUCUUUUUCUUUGAUCUGGUGGCUACAAAAAUCAACCGACAUCAUCAGUCUUCGGAGAUCAAGAACAUUGUUUGACAAUACAACAGCCAGCCAUCUCAGCCACAGUUAACUCCGACAUGCUAUCACCCAGCAGUUUCAUUUUCCUCCACUGAAUCUGAUCAUUGUGUUGUUGCAUUUAACAUCGGAUACUCCAGUCAUAUCUAAAAGCCAAUAAGAGCAAGGCUGCUCCAUCUGUUAACCGGCUGCCGGUGAAAUGCAACCAUCCCAGUCUGUACAUUACUUAUUUGUAAGCAAUUUUGACCAAUAUUUGUAGAGAAAUGUAUAGGAUCGUGAACAAAUUUAAUCGGUUUGUUUCCCUUUAAUUAUUACCCAGCCUCCGGAGUUGUGUUGAGCUUUUAUUUAGUAGUUUAUCUGGGCCAUUUGGAUGAAACCAGAUGCUAGGAUUUCAGAAUAAAGACAAUGUUCUCAAGAUCAGAAGGAAUCAUUUGCUUAACAAUUCUGGGGUGCUUCACCUCUUGUUACUACUGAUACUCUGGGUUUGUCCAUCUAUCUAAAAAAUGUUUUUUUGCUGGAAAUUUUUUCCUGCAUUGUGUAUUACUGCCCUGAGAUAUGGACUAAACUUUGUAUGAAUA